rnacentral:rRNA from 1 species
CCUACGGGAGGCAGCAGUGGGGAAUAUUGGACAAUGGGGGCAACCCUGAUCCAGCCAUGCCGCGUGUGUGAAGAAGGCCCUCGGGUUGUAAAGCACUUUCAGUGAGGAAGAACGCCUGGUGGUUAAUACCCAUCAGGAAAGACAUCACUCACAGAAGAAGCACCGGCUAACUCCGUGCCAGCAGCCGCGGUAAUACGGAGGGGGCGAGCGUUAAUCGGAAUUACUGGGCGUAAAGCGCGCGUAGGUGGCUUGAUAAGCCGGUUGUGAAAGCCCCGGGCUCAACCUGGGAACGGCAUCCGGACCUGUCAAGCUAGAGUGCAGGAGAGGAAGGUAGAAUUCCCGGUGUAGCGGUGAAAUGCGUAGAGAUCGGGAGGAAUACCAGUGGCGAAGGCGGCCUUCUGGACUGACACUGACACUGAGGUGCGAAAGCGUGGGUAGCAAACAGGAUUAGAUACCCCAGUAGUC